rnacentral:rRNA from 1 species
AGAGUUUGAUCCUGGCUCAGGACGAACGCUGGCGGCGUGCUUAACACAUGCAAGUCGAACGAGAAUCUGUGGAUCGAGGAUUCGUCCAAGUGAAGCAGAGGACAGUGGCGGACGGGUGAGUAACGCGUGAGGAACCUGCCUUUCAGAGGGGGACAACAGUUGGAAACGACUGCUAAUACCGCAUGAUACAUUUGGGUGGCAUCAUCUGAAUGUCAAAGAUUUAUCGCUGAAAGAUGGCCUCGCGUCUGAUUAGCUAGUUGGUGGGGUAACGGCCCACCAAGGCGACGAUCAGUAGCCGGACUGAGAGGUUGACCGGCCACAUUGGGACUGAGAUACGGCCCAGACUCCUACGGGAGGCAGCAGUGGGGAAUAUUGGGCAAUGGGCGCAAGCCUGACCCAGCAACGCCGCGUGAAGGAAGAAGGCUUUCGGGUUGUAAACUUCUUUUAAGAGGGAAGAGCAGAAGACUGUACCUCUAGAAUAAGCCACGGCUAACUACGUGCCAGCAGCCGCGGUAAUACGUAGGUGGCAAGCGUUGUCCGGAUUUACUGGGUGUAAAGGGCGUGCAGCCGGGAAUGCAAGUCAGAUGUGAAAUCCAUGGGCUUAACCCAUGAACUGCAUUUGAAACUGUAUUUCUUGAGUACUGGAGAGGCAAUCGGAAUUCCUAGUGUAGCGGUGAAAUGCGUAGAUAUUAGGAGGAACACCAGUGGCGAAGGCGGAUUGCUGGACAGCAACUGACGGUGAGGCGCGAAAGUGUGGGGAGCAAACAGGAUUAGAUACCCUGGUAGUCCACACUGUAAACGAUGAAUACUAGGUGUGCGGGGACUGACCCCCUGCGUGCCGCAGUUAACACAAUAAGUAUUCCACCUGGGGAGUACGAUCGCA